rnacentral:lncRNA from 1 species
UGUACUCUUGGUCUUAUCCCAAGUAUGUUGAUACUUUUGAAUAUCAAGAUUUUGGAUUUUGGAGUGUGUUGUCUGUCGAAAAAUGUUGUUGAAUCUUCGAAAUGUUGCAACCCUGCUAUGCCCGAUCUUUCAAGGGUGGAGCUCCACCUCGCCCGACCUUGAGUCCUGGGGUCGGAGGUGCCCGACCCCUCGAGGGAGGGACUCCGCCUCGCCCGACCCCAAGUCCUGGGGUCGGAGGCGCCCGACCCUUCGAGGGUGGAACUCCGCCUCGCCCGACCCUAGGUCCCAGGGUUGGAGUAGUCAGAGCCUCCGUCAUGUAAGCUAAGCUUCGCGUGUAGUAGUCCCGAGAGUCGAGUAGUCGUAAUGUUGUUUGAGUACUCGUCUCCUAAAGGACACGGGUGUACUGUACUCAGCUGUCCUUUGUUAAUGUACGGGUGGACUGUUGUCUUUUGUCCGUUGCAGAGGCACGGGUGUACUGUGCU